GCGGCCGUGGUCCAGUCUGGUAAGACGCCAGCCCCCCACGACCCUUUUCGGGGAAAGCUGGUGACCCGGGUCCGAUUCCCGGCGGCCGCA
rnacentral:tRNA from 1 species